rnacentral:misc_RNA from 1 species
UGGUUCCGGCAUCGAUGAAGAACGCAGCAAAAUGCGAUACGUAAUGUGAAUUGCAGAAUUCAGUGAAUCAUCGAGUCUUUGAACGCACAUUGCGCCCUUUGGUAUUCCGAAGGGCAUGCCUGUCCGAGCGUCAUAACUUAAUCGAACAAAAAAGCUUUGAUGUUAGGGUCCUGUUGGUGCUACAACCCCCCCUUAACCCGGGGGACCAGGCCCGGAAAUCUAUUAGCCUACACGAUUGCUAGGCCAAAGCAUACGAAUCUUUUUGCCUUGCGCCUGAGCGUCACCGUGGGCGUGUUUGGAUUCUGUCCAACACCUUUUUCUUUUGACCUCGGAUCAGGUAGGAAAACCCGCUGA